CAGGACGAACGCUGGCGGCGUGCCUAAUACAUGCAAGUAGAACGCUGAAGAGGGGAGCUUGCUCUUCUUGGAUGGGUUGCGAACGGGUGAGUAACGCGUAGGUAACCUGCCUUGUAGCGGGGGAUAACUAUUGGAAACGAUAGCUAAUACCGCAUAACAAUGGAUGACACAUGUCAUUUAUUUGAAAGGGGCAAUUGCUCCACUACAAGAUGGACCUGCGUUGUAUUAGCUAGUAGGUGAGGUAAUGGCUCACCUAGGCGACGAUACAUAGCCGACCUGAGAGGGUGAUCGGCCACACUGGGACUGAGACACGGCCCAGACUCCUACGGGAGGCAGCAGUAGGGAAUCUUCGGCAAUGGGGGCAACCCUGACCGAGCAACGCCGCGUGAGUGAAGAAGGUUUUCGGAUCGUAAAGCUCUGUUGUAAGUCAAGAACGGGUGUGAGAGUGGAAAGUUCACACUGUGACAGUAGCUUACCAGAAAGGGACGGCUAACUACGUGCCAGCAGCCGCGGUAAUACGUAGGUCCCGAGCGUUGUCCGGAUUUAUUGGGCGUAAAGCGAGCGCAGGCGGUUUGAUAAGUCUGAAGUUAAAGGCUGUGGCUCAACCAUAGUUCGCUUUGGAAACUGUCAAACUUGAGUGCAGAAGGGGAGAGUGGAAUUCCAUGUGUAGCGGUGAAAUGCGUAGAUAUAUGGAGGAACACCGGUGGCGAAAGCGGCUCUCUGGUCUGUAACUGACGCUGAGGCUCGAAAGCGUGGGGAGCGAACAGGAUUAGAUACCCUGGUAGUCCACGCCGUAAACGAUGAGUGCUAGGUGUUGGAUCCUUUUCCGGGAUUCAGUGCCGCAGCUAACGCAUUAAGCACUCCGCCUGGGGGAGUACGUCCGCAAGGUUGAAACUCAAAGGAAUUGACGGGGGCCCCCACAAGCGGUGGAGCAUGUGGUUUAAUUCGAAGCAACGCGAAGAACCUUACCAGGUCUUGACAUCCCGAUGCUAUUUCUAGAGAUAGAAAGUUACUUCGGUACAUCGGUGACAGGUGGUGCAUGGUUGUCGUCAGCUCGUGUCGUGAGAUGUUGGGUUAAGUCCCGCAACGAGCGCAACCCCUAUUGUUAGUUGCCAUCAUUCAGUUGGGCACUCUAGCGAGACUGCCGGUAAUAAACCGGAGGAAGGUGGGGAUGACGUCAAAUCAUCAUGCCCCUUAUGACCUGGGCUACGCACGUGCUACAAUGGUUGGUACAACGAGUUGCGAGUCGGUGACGGCGAGCUAAUCUCUUAAAGCCAAUCUCAGUUCGGAUUGUAGGCUGCAACUCGCCUACAUGAAGUCGGAAUCGCUAGUAAUCGCGGAUCAGCACGCCGCGGUGAAUACGUUCCCGGGCCUUGUACACACCGCCCGUCACACCACGAGAGUUUGUAACACCCGAAGUCGGUGAGGUAACCUUUUGGAGCCAGCCGCCUAAGGUGGGA
rnacentral:rRNA from 1 species